CCCUUCUCCUCCGAUCUGUGGUUCCUGAUGGGAAGACAUGAGCAAAAAUGACUGAAUAUGCUACUAUCAAUAAGUUGCCUCUAUACGGCUUACGUAAAAAGAGAGAUUGCCUGUGAGGAUGAUGUCUUCCAGAAACGUUCUCAUGCAUCCCAGGCUGGCCUCAAAAUCGCCAUCUACCUAAAGAUAACUGUAAACGUAGGAUCAUCUGCCUCUGUCCAGAGUGCAAAGGUCAGAGGUUGUGCUAUCUCAGACAGACUAAGUCUGGCUGGGAAUCUAACCCAGGGCUCCAGGCAUGACAGGAGUAAUGGCUAACUGUCACCUGAACAGGAUCUAGAAUCGCCAAGGAGACAAGCCUCUGGGCAUGCUGUGACAGUGGAGACUCAGUUAAUGGGGCAGUAAGACCCUGCACUGCGGAGCACUCAUCCAUGGGCUGAGGCUCUGACCUGGUAAGCACUGCUGAGCACCAGCAUGCACCGCUCUCAGAAGUCCGGUCAGCUGCCUGGAGCCCCAUUGCCAUGGCUUCCUCGCCAUGCUGGACUGUACUGAACUGGAGCCACAGUAAGCAGUUUCUUCUGUAAGUUCUUAGGUCAGGCAUUGUGUCAAAACAGCAACAAGGAACUAGCUAGCACACCGGGCCAGCUUUCUUCCAACUGCAUGUAUCCCUAAGUUUACAUUGUUAAAGCUCAAGAGAGAUUUCCUGUGAGCUUUUUGUGGAUUUUGUACAAUGAAUUUUGAUUAUAUUUAGCCUUUUCUCUUAACGCUUCUUUGAUCCACACUCCCCCAACCCCUCUUUCCCUACCCAGCCAACUUCUUUCUAUUUUUUUUUUUUUUUGGUGGGGGGGACUCAUACUUUUGUUUACAAUUUUAAUAAAAAGAUCUCCAAAAUAAAUCACAAUUCAUACGUGUGCCUUAAAAAAUGUAAGCAAAAUAAUUACAGGAGGCAAAGGAAGGGAGGGACCUAGGUGGGAGAGGGGAGGGGGAGGAGAAAAGGGGAACAGGAUCAUGCAUGGGGGGUGGGGGUUAAGUAAAGGGGAAAAGUCCAGAGGGGCCAGGAGAAUGAAUAGAAAUACAUAGCCUUGAGGGGUGUGAGGUGGGAGGACCCUCGAGAAAGUACCAGAGGCCUGGAAGGUGAGAGACUCCCAGGACUCAAUGGGGAGUCUGUCACUAUGUUAGUCAAAAUGCCCAACACUGGGGAGAGGAAACUCAAAGAGACCACCUUCAGUAGAUAGAUCACCCAGAGUCAAGAGCUCUGACCC